rnacentral:rRNA from 1 species
CCCAGACUCCUACGGGAGGCAGCAGUGGGGGAUAUUGCACAAUGGGGGGAACCCUGAUGCAGCGACGCCGCGUGGGUGAAGGAGCGUUUCGGCGCGUAAAGCCCUAUCGGCAGGGAAGAAGAUGACGGUACCUGACCAAGAAGCCCCGGCUAACUACGUGCCAGCAGCCGCGGUAAUACGCAGGGGGCAAGCGGUAUCCGGAUUUACUGGGUGUAAAGGGAGCGUAGACGGCGAUACAAGUCUGAAGUGAAAGCCCGGGGCUCAACCCCGGGACUGCUUUGGAAACUGUGUUGCUGGAGUGCUGGAGAGGCAGGCGGGAUUCCUAGUGUAGCGGUGAAAUGCGUAGAUAUUAGGAAGAACACCAGUGGCGAAGGCGGCUUGCUGGACAGUAACUGACGUUGAGGCUCGAAAGCGUGGGGAGCAAACAGGAUUAGAUACCCGCG